CUGUUAACCAGGAGGAAGUGGAACUGAGAGAAGGUGAAAUCCAGAUCUAAGAGGAGACGGAGAGAUUCAGGGAGGAGCUAAGAUGUUACUGAACUAUAGAAGAGAGAGGAACUUCUGUAUUCAGCAGAGUUCAAUACACAAACCAUCAACAUUACCUUCAUUCAACAUGCUCUCAUUGGACUGUUAUGGACUUUCUCUACUGUUUGUCACUAUUCUAACAGGUGUCAGCUGUGGAAAACUCACUCCAGUCAAGAAUGAAGAGUCCAGUUUAGAAGACAGCACUGUUACUCUGUCCUACACAUACUCUGACCUGAAACCAACUGGUAGUGAUUAUUUCUUCUGGUAUCGACAAUAUCCAGGAAAACCACCAGAGUUCAUCAUCUCCAUCUCUGGUCUUAGUGUUACAAGACCAGCAGAAUCUCUGAAAUCAGACACAAAGUUCUUCACUAAACUGUUUGAAGAAAAGGAUGGUGUGGAUCUCCAGAUCUCCUCUGCUGCAGUGUCACACUCUGCUGUGUACUACUGUGCUGUGAGGCCCACAGUGACAGGAAACACCAAAACUCUGUACAAAAACCUUUGGAGCAAAGACAACACAAUACUCCACAACGUCCACUAGAGGGAGUCACACUCUGUUCCACUUCAACAGGAGCUGAUGAUCCAGUCUAGAUUGUUUCUCCUCAUGAGUUCAGAAGGAAACAAAACCAGACUGGACAGAGGGUCCUUCUCUACACUAUUUUUUUGUUUCAAGUAAUUUUUUUUUAACAAGAAUUUCUUUUUUUUUGGGUCAAGUAUUUUUUUUGUAUUAUUUUUUGUCAAGUAUUGCCCUCUCUUGAGGAACUUUACACCGCCCGCUGCUUCCGCAGAGCAGCCGGCAUCCUGAAGGACCCUUCCCACCCUGGACAUCAGCUGUUGGAACUUCUGCCCUCUGGUAGACGGUUCAGGUCCAUCACAUCACGGACUAAUAGACUCAAGAACAGCUUCUACCCUAGCGUCAUACGUGAGCUGAAAACUGCCAGACACUCACAUAGAACUGAACGGAAUGGAACUGAUUUAAACACUGUCAGAUUCUUGUCAGAAAACAGAACCCUUACUCAGCUUAUUACAUGUUUUCAUCCUAUCGCACUUUAUAUUCAGAUACAUUAUUUCUUGUAAUUUAUCAACUACUGAUACAUGUGCAAUAUGUGCUCUUAUUACUGUGCAAUAACUCACUGCCUUGAUUGUACUGUAUACUGCCUUGACCAUAUUGUAAUUGUAUUGUCUGUAUUGUAUCAUAGGUCAACAUUUCUAGUUGAAGAGACAUAUAUUUACUUAUUUUA